UGCAGAUGAUGUGAUGAAUAUUUGCUAUCUGAGAUUUUCUGAUGACAAACCACCAAGAUCGCUGAUGCA
rnacentral:snoRNA from 1 species